GCUCCUGAUUGUCCAAACGCAAUUCUCGAGUCUCUGGCUCCGGCCGAGAGUUGCGUCUGGACGUCCCGAGCC
rnacentral:pre_miRNA from 7 species